rnacentral:rRNA from 1 species
GACGAACGCUGGCGGCGUGCUUAACACAUGCAAGUCGAACGGAAAGGCCCUGCUUUUGUGGGGUGCUCGAGUGGCGAACGGGUGAGUAACACGUGAGUAACCUGCCCUUGACUUUGGGAUAACUUCAGGAAACGGGGGCUAAUACCGGAUAGGAGCUCCUGCUGCAUGGUGGGGGUUGGAAAGUUUCGGCGGUUGGGGAUGGACUCGCGGCUUAUCAGCUUGUUGGUGGGGUAGGGGCUUACCAAGGCUUUGACGGGUAGCCGGCCUGAGAGGGUGACCGGCCACAUUGGGACUGAGAUACGGCCCAGACUCCUACGGGAGGCAGCAGUGGGGAAUAUUGCACAAUGGGCGGAAGCCUGAUGCAGCAACGCCGCGUGCGGGAUGACGGCCUUCGGGUUGUAAACCGCUUUCGCCUGUGACGAAGCGUGAGUGACGGUAAUGGGUAAAGAAGCACCGGCUAACUACGUG